AGGAAUAUUGGUCAAUGGGCGCGAGCCUGAACCAGCCAAGUAGCGUGAAGGAUGAAGGUCCUACGGAUUGUAAACUUCUUUUAUAAGGGAAUAAAGUCACCCACGUGUGGGUGUUUGUAUGUACCUUAUGAAUAAGCAUCGGCUAACUUCGUGCCAGCAGCCGCGGUAAUACGGAGGAUGCGAGCGUUAUCCGGAUUUAUUGGGUUUAAAGGGAGCGUAGACGGGUCGUUAAGUCAGCUGUGAAAGUUUGAGGCUCAACCUUAAAAUUGCAGUUGAUACUGGCGUCCUUGAGUACGGUUGAGGCAGGCGGAAUUCGUGGUGUAGCGGUGAAAUGCUUAGAUAUCACGAAGAACCCCGAUUGCGAAGGCAGCCUGCUAAACCGCCACUGACGUUGAGGCUCGAAAGUGUGGGUAUCAAACAGGAUUAGAUACCCUGGUAGUCCACACGGUAAACGAUGGAUACUCGCUGUUGGCGAUAGACUGUCAGCGGCUUAGCGAAAGCGUUAAGUAUCCCACCUGGGGAGUACGCCGGCAACGGUGAAACUCAAAGGAAUUGACGGGGGCCCGCACAAGCGGAGGAACAUGUGGUUUAAUUCGAUGAUACGCGAGGAACCUUACCCGGGCUUGAAUUGCAGACGAAUUGCUUGGAAACAGGCAAGCCGCAAGGCGUCUGUGAAGGUGCUGCAUGGUUGUCGUCAGCUCGUGCCGUGAGGUGUCGGCUUAAGUGCCAUAACGAGCGCAACCCUCGUGUCCAGUUACUAGCAGGUUAUGCUGAGGACUCUGGACAGACUGCCAUCGUAAGAUGUGAGGAAGGUGGGGAUGACGUCAAAUCAGCACGGCCCUUACGUCCGGGGCUACACACGUGUUACAAUGGGGGGUACAGCAGGCAGCUACCGGGCGACCGGAUGCCAAUCCCGAAAGCCUCUCUCAGUUCGGACUGGAGUCUGCAACCCGACUCCACGAAGCUGGAUUCGCUAGUAAUCGCGCAUCAGCCAUGGCGCGGUGAAUACGUUCCCG
rnacentral:rRNA from 1 species